UGGGGAAUAUUGCACAAUGGGCGCAAGCCUGAUGCAGCCAUGCCGCGUGUAUGAAGAAGGCCUUCGGGUUGUAAAGUACUUUCAGCGGGGAGGAAGGGAGUAAAGUUAAUACCUUUGCUCAUUGACGUUACCCGCAGAAGAAGCACCGGCUAACUCCGUGCCAGCAGCCGCGGUAAUACGGAGGGUGCAAGCGUUAAUCGGAAUUACUGGGCGUAAAGCGCACGCAGGCGGUCUGUCAAGUCGGAUGUGAAAUCCCCGGGCUUAACCUGGGAACUGCAUUCGAAACUGGCAGGCUAGAGUCUUGUAGAGGGGGGUAGAAUUCCAGGUGUAGCGGUGAAAUGCGUAGAGAUCUGGAGGAAUACCGGUGGCGAAGGCGGCCCCCUGGACAAAGACUGACGCUCCGGUGCGAAAGCGUGGGGAGCAAACAGG
rnacentral:rRNA from 1 species